AUGCUCUCUUUGGCAGCACAUAUACCAAAAUUGGAACGAUACAGAGAAGAUUAGCAUGGCCCCUGCACAAGGAUGACACGUAAAAAAAUAAAUAAAAAGAUGGA
rnacentral:snRNA from 1 species